UACGAAGGGGGCUAGCGUUGCUCGGAAUGACUGGGCGUAAAGGGCGCGUAGGCGGCUCAUACAGUCAGGCGUGAAAUUCCUGGGCUCAACCUGGGGACUGCGCUUGAGACGUGUGGGCUUGAGUGGGGAAGAGGGUCGUGGAAUUCCAGGUGUAGCGGUGAAAUGCGUAGAUAUCUGGAGGAACACCGGUGGCGAAGGCGGGUCUCUGGGCAACUGCUGACACUGAGGCGCGACAGCGUGGGGAGCAAACAGG
rnacentral:rRNA from 1 species